AUGAAAGCCAGUUCUUUUCAAGUCUGUUACAGAAUAAGGCUCAAAUAUAUUUUAGCCUGAACAAGGACCACAGUGCCUAUGUGGGAUACUUCUGUAUAUUUCCCACCUCAGUGGAAGCAGGAGCACACAGGCGGCUCUGAGUCUCUAAGUCUCAAUUGACAGGAUAUUGGAGGAUCUGGAUUUCAGCAGAGCUGUUUCAUUCCCAUCCUGUACACUUGACAAGUCAUCAGGUCUUGGAAGCAAUUAAACUAGUUAGUUAAAAUCCCUAUUGCCAUAUAUACUCAGUGGGGAUGUGUGUGUUUUAAA